rnacentral:lncRNA from 1 species
GCACUCACGCGCUGCCGCCGCCGCCUUCCACCGCGCACCUUCUGCGCCGCCGCCGCCUUCCACCGCGCACCUUCUGCGCCGCCGCCGCCUUCCACCGCGCGCCAGCCGCGCCCGUGCACCACCUCCGCGCCGUCACACAUCACCGCCCGCGCGCACUCGCACCUGCGCCCGAGCAACGCCCACACAUUGUGUCUCCACCACUGCCACCUUCCACGCCGUGCCAUCGCAUCCUCUGC